ensembl:snRNA U6 U6 spliceosomal RNA
UUGCUUUGGCAGCAUAUAUACUAAAACUGGAAUCAUAGAGAGAAGAUUAGCAUGGCCCCUGUGCAAGGAUGACAUGCAAAUUCGUGAAGUGUUCCAUAUUUAA